AUAUGCACGCAUAGAAAAAUUAUAAUUAUUCUGUCGGGUUGUUUCUUACACAGAUUAAAUUUACUAACUCACGGAAAAAAUUAAGUCCCGCGCAUAGAUUUUCAUUUCCCGCUCUGCUUUUGGCAUUGCCGCCUGGCUUUCGGUAUUGGCGCGAUGUCGAAUAGAUAAGAUGGUAAAAAAAAAUUAAAAAAAAUAAAACCCCCUAAACCUAUCCUCCACAUGCGGCAACCUUAUCCUCUCCUGGCGUGACUCCCUCCCAUCCGCUCACCAAAAUCCCGUCGCGCUCAGGUCCGCCGCCAGCUCCCUCCGUGAUUCCGCCCCUGCUCCAGGCUGGUCCGCCGCCCACAGCUCCAAGCCGGUCCGCCGCCCACAGCUCCAGGCCGGUCCGCCGCCCGCAGCUCCAGGCCAGACCGCAGCGCACAGCUGGCCGCAGCUCCAGGGACGCCGCCCGCUGCCCCUAGAUCUACCUGCUGCCGGUGGCCAUAGCCCCUCCAGUUCUCGGCCCCAAGCCAGCGGUUGGCCCUCUAGUUGUGGACCUAGCGCAUGCACAGCCAACCACGAGCACCCCCUAUCCCGCCGCCCUGGUCUCCCUCCCAUCCGUUGCAUGUCCUUGCAUGACGCCCUCAUCGCCCCAUCAAUCUCCACCACCCGUUUCUUCUGUCAAAAAGUCUGCUUCCGGUGUUGUCUCCUUCAAAUCUGAAAAGAUUUUUCAGUGGAGAUUUGGAGAUUUUUAGCUAAGGACUAAAGGUUUCUAUUGGAGGCGGUGUGUACUUUAAAGAUAGUGAAGAAUUGUUGAGGACCUGUGACUAAGACUCAAGGCAACUGGUUCUUCUCAUACUGUCUCAGAAUCUGCCAACAAUGCCAAUGAUUUUGGGCACACCAAUGAAGACCUUCAUGCUACAGAUGUUGCCAACAAUCAAGGUUCCGACAACAAUGGAGAUGAUGCAUCGAUUUGAUGGUGCUGUUUAGUUGCAAAACAUGGAUGUGAUGGUGGUUUCUUCUUUUGUAGUGUUGUGCUUUUGCUCAUUAACUAGUAGGAGGCUCUAAUCUUUAGCUGUGGUAAUGCUUUUGAAUGUAACUAGUAGCGCUCUAAUCUUUAGCUGUGGUCUUACUUAUAUGACUCAAUGAUGCGCUGGUAGUUUAGUCAUCUUGGUUGAAACUUGAACCGCUGAGAUGAGAUGGUAAUGCUUUUGAAUGUAUCGACGUCAGAACAUUUGGACAUCGUC